CAAUAGCGUAUAUUAAAGUUGUUGCAGUUAAAAAGCUCGUAGUUGGAUUUCUGGUUGAAGCGACCGGUCGGGCGUUGAUUCGUCUGCACUGGAGUCGGUUUUGGCCAUCCUCUAGGAAAGUGCGUCUGGUAUUAAGUUAUCGGGCGUAUGAUCCAGGUCUUUUACUGUGAAAAAAUUAGAGUGUUUAAAGCAGGCCUUCGCCUUGAAUACAUUAGCAUGGAAUAAUAAGAUAGGACUUUGGUCUAUUUUGUUGGUUUGCAGACCGAAGUAAUGAUUAAUAGGGAUAGUUGGGGGUAUUUAUAUUCCGAUGUCAGAGGUGAAAUUCUUAGAUUUUCGGAAGAUAAACUUAUGCGAAAGCAUUUACCAAGGAUGUUUNCAUUA
rnacentral:rRNA from 1 species